rnacentral:rRNA from 1 species
AAGCUUUACUGUAGCCUGGAAUUGGCUUCGGGCUUCGCUUGCGCAGGAUAGGUGGGAAGCGUUGAAACUCUCCUCGUGGGGAGAGUGGAGCUAACGGUGAGAUACCACUCUGGCGAGGCUAGAAUUCUAACCCUGACCCCUCAUCGGGGCGGGAGACAGUUUCAGGUGGGCAGUUUGACUGGGGCGGUCGCCUCCUAAAAGGUAACGGAGGCGCGCAAAGGUUCCCUCGGUCCCGUUGGAAAUGGGACGAUAGAGUGCAAAAGCAGAAGGGAGCUUGACUGUGAGACCCACAAGUCGAACAGGGACGAAAGUCGGCUUUAGUGAUCCGACGGCACCGCGUGGAAGGGCCGUCGCUCAACGGAUAAAAGUUACUCUAGGGA